rnacentral:lncRNA from 1 species
UCACCUCUUCCUGUCCAUCUACAGUUGUUUUCUCUGGGCUCCUCUUAUCACAUCCAUCCCCAGGAAAGCCUCUGAUGUCUGCGGAGCGUUUCUCUGCUCACACAGAGCCUCCUCUGUGCUGUGAAACUGGAGAGGUGAGCAUUCCUCUCUUCAGGCCUAACACCCAGUGACCGUGCUGUUGCAGUCUUAAUCCAGGUUCCCGCUGGGAGUGCAUACUGACGCGCAGGUCCGAGGUAGAUUCCUCCCUUCCUCCUUCCUCUAAAGUGGACAAUCGGGGUCUUUGUGAACCCGGCGGGUGCCAGCAGGCUGAUUGUGGAGCAGCUCUCAGCUCCACAGUCCAUCCAGACUGCUGCUCUGACCACUGCUGGAGGACCGGAGCUGGGUUUUUUAGAUCCUCAUCGGACUAUCAAGAGUUUUUUCAUGGAUUAUGGAAGUCUCUGGAUUAAUUGGCUGGAGGGUUGCCCCCAUAAAGGGGCUCCACGGGCUCCAGCAGGUCCAACAGGUCCAGCAGCACCAGGCUCUCCCUUGUCUCCAGGUGCUCCAGCAGGUCCAGGAAGUCCAAUAGGUCCAGUCAAGCCACGGGGGCCAUCUUUUCCUGGAGCUCCAUCAGCUCCCUUAGCUCCUUGAUCACCCUAGAUUGUGGUGAGACAAAGGCAGGUCAGUUACCUAUAGAUUGUCAGGAACAUUGAUGGUCCAUUCAAAUUAUUUGACUAUUCAAAACCCAUUUUUCAUACAUUACAGUACUGAAAUAUAGAGCAGGGAAACUCACCCUGUCUCCCCUCAGACCAGGAAGUCCAGCAGCACCACGCUCUCCAGGCAUGCCCUGCAGUCCAGGAGGACCCUGAGCUCCAGGAGCACCAGGGGCUCCAGCAUCACCCUAACAAACCAAAAGAAUGUCAGAAACUAUUCUGUUUCCAAAUACAGUGAAUUAGUUAGAAAUUCCUUAAUCCUUUUGAUGUGUGAAGCUGACCUUGGCACCUUCGUUUCCAGCAGAACCGGGGGAUCCACGGGCUCCAGCAGGUCCAAGAGGGCCAGGUACUCCACGCUCACCGGGGAAGCCUCUGUCGCCCUGAGGGGAGAGGUUGCAGGAGGGUGAGUUCAUUAUUAUUCACACUCCAUGCGACUCAUUGCAGUUGUCUAGAUUGAUACAGUUGAUUUAUUAAUAGAAAGCUUACUUUGAGUUAAAAUGCUGAAUGUUUGGACAGAAUUUUUGUUUUUACAUCC